AUCACCUGGGAACUUGUUAAAAUACAGAUUCUGAUUCAGUAGGUAUCAGGUGGGGUCCAAGAUUCUGCAUUCCCAACAAUAUCCCAAGUGAUGCUGA
rnacentral:pre_miRNA from 1 species